GGACCUGGUUCAUGAACAAUCGUGUGUUACAGAGGAGAGAAGGAGAGACAAAGAGAGAGAGAGAGAGAGAGAGAGAGAGAGAGAAAGAGAGAGAGACAGAAAGAAAGCCGAUUGCAAACGCGAUUGAAUGACGCACAGAAUACGAUAUCCUCUCCACGCAAACGAGAAUGUAAGUUUAGCUCAUGGACGUUUAACGAGAAUAAACGAAGAGUAAACAAGAGUAUAUGCGCGUAUACAUGAUAAAGCUGUAAACUGCAACCAAUAGUUGCGGCAAUAUCGAGUUUACCGAUCGACCGAAUGGAGCGCGGACGACUGUUCCGUUCGCGGGAAAGCAAAUCGAACUGCAAACGUGCGACGAUACAGACAUCUUUUUCAGUAAGCGCUGUACCGUAACGCAGGCAUAAGUCGAUAGACGAACGUGAGUAGCAAACGAACUCAACCGUGAGUAAGUAUAAUAACGGAGAAGAUAUUCGUCAACCGAGGAAUAAAAAGGAUAACUGAAAAUGUUAUCGUAGUGUACCUACUCUGUGUCCGCAAUAGAAGGCGCCUAGCAUGAAAAUAAAUUUAACCGUCUAUUAGUCCCUUGGAGUCUCUCGCUCUAACGUGCAAUACAAUUGAUUCUCUUUUUUUUUUUUUUGGUUUUAUUCUCAGUGAGAACUUAGACAUUCAUUCAAAGAGUGCGAUACCGUGCCAAGUACGCGUGUAUGCGAGUGACAUGUACAUGAAUCAAUGAGUCGGUUCACGCCGCGUCGCAGUCAACGUAGUCGCGACUACGUCGGACCGAGAGCAAUCUCGGCAGAGCAUUUUUUCUCUUUACACCUCGAGGCGCGCAUGUAUAUUUAUAACAAGCAACUAAAAAACACCGACAUCUAAGGUGAGCGGCAACUUGGACGCUUCUCAACGGAGCUUACCAUAGGCGGAGCGUGUGCGAUGUUCACCUGUCCACUGACGGUCGUGUACUGGGCACCGCCUACGUGGCCGGUUCCGUAUGGUCGGGCCCCUACAAAUCACACACCAUGCACUCUAAUCUAAAAUUCCCGGGCUCUAUUUACAACUUAGCGAACGACUCCUCGAUACCGUGAGUCUGUUCGCGCGCAGAGAACACGACCGCUGCCGUUCUACGCUGAGAGAGAAAAGCUGAACUUGACAUUUGUUUUCUUAGUCAAUCUCAUCGUAAGCGACACUUUCACGAACACUUGAAGCUAAACAAACGUGUAUUUACAAGAAAGUGUAUCUAUUUAUAUUAUAUACAGUAACAUCGACCAACAGCCAGGAUCCGAGGAUUCAAUCCUGCAAAGGAUCGCGAAUUGAUCUUUCCUGCCCCAAAGGUAUCGAGUAAAGAAGCAGAGGCAGUGUUUCGGGAUGUAACCUAUACUGUCUGACAGUUUUAAGCGAGAUGUAAUUUUCAGUUUGUAAAAUUGAUCACUUCCCGAAAGCUGAAACGGAUAUUGAAGUAACGAUCGGCAAGAACUGCUUCAAAAAUUU